CCUUGGAGAGCCUUAGUGUACAAAUGCUGUAGUCUGCAGAUCAACAGUUUAACUGCACCCUUUGGUUCUCAGUAGCUUGAUUGCAUCCAACUCUUAGAAACCCCAUGGACUGUAGCCCACCAAGCUGCUCUGUCCAUGGGAUUCUCCAGGCAAGAAUACUGGAGUGGGUUGCAAUUUCCUUCUCCAUGGAUCUUCCUGACCCAGGGAUCAAGCCCACAUCUCCUGUGUCUCCUGCUUUGGCAGGAAGAUUCUGUACUACUGAGCCACCCGGGAAGCACAACUGCAACCCUUUAGAGAAGCCCAAUGUGAAAGAAAAAAAAAAAAUAGAGGAGGGAGAGAAGUUUAACAAGAGGGAAAAAGCUUAUUUUAGGCUGGAACAGUAUAGUAGUUGUCUAUUGCUGCAUGUUAAUUUUUUGCCAAAAUUGAAUAGCUUCAAACAGUAAACAAAUGUUCAUUGUCUUCCAUGGUUCCUGAGGGCCAGGAAUCUGGAAGCAGCUCAACUACAAGAUUCUAGCUGAGGGUCUCUCGUGAGGCCUGGUGACCACUCUCAGUCAUUCCUCCCACAGCAGUUCCCAACCUUUUUGGCACCAGGGGUGGUUUCAUGGAAGACAAUUUUUCCCAUGAACUGGGAUUGGGGGACGGUUUCAGAAUGAUUCAAGGGCAUAGUAUUUAUUGUGCACUUUAUUUCUUUUGUUAUUACAUCAGCUCCACCUCAGAUCAUCAGGCAUUAGAUCCUGGAGUGCAAUGCACUUUAUGCCUGUACAGUGCUUCCUACUCUUCUUUGCUCAUCUGCCUGCCAACCUGGCUCACUUCUGCCUUUGUACUAUGAUUUAAAAAAAAAAAAUCGACAGUAACAAGUGUUGACAGGGAUGUGGAGAAAUCAGAGCCUUCAUACAAUGCUGGUAGAGAUGUAAAAUAAUACAGCCACUUUGGAAAACCGUCUGGUAUUCCUCCAAUAGUUAAACAGGGAGUUACUAUUUUAUCCAGAAAUCCCACUCCUUGGCAUCUACCUACCCAAGGGAGAUGAAACAUAUAUGCACACAAAAACUUGUACAUAUUUUAAUAGCAUUAUUUAGUAUGGCCAAAAGGUGGAAUCAACCCAAAUGAAAUGGGAAGUGGUGCGAAUCAACAGAUGACUAGAUAAACAAAAUAUGAUAUAUCCAUACAAUAGGAUAUUAUUCAGCUCUAGUAAGAAAUGAACUGUUGACAUAUGCUGCAACCUGGAUGAACCUUGAAAACUAUGCUAAGAAAGAGGCUCAUCACCAAAGACCACAUACCAUACAAUUCCAUCUAUAUGAAAUGUCCAAACAGGAGCAUCUGUAGAGAUAGAAAAUAAAUUUGUGGUUGCUUAGGGCUAGUGGAAAUGAGGGGAUGUGAGUCAUGAUAGCUAAUGAAUGCAGAGUUUCUUAAUAUUUAUUUUAUUUAUUUUGCUGUGCCAAGUCUUAGUUGUAGUACAUGAGAUCACUGAUCUUCAUUGUAGCGUGUAAACCAUGCAGCACGUGGGAUCUAGUUUCCUGACCAGGGAUCAAACCUGAGCCUGCUGCUUUGGGAGCUCAGAGUCUUAACCACUGGGCCACCGGGGAUGUCCCCAGAGUCUCUUUUUGAGGUAAUGAAAAUGGUCUAAAAUUAUCUGUGGAGAUCAUUGCUCAUUUUUGUGACUAUGCUAAAAAUUACUGAACUACAGCCUUUAGGCAGGUGGGUUUCUGUGGGGUCACAAAGAGUUGGACACGACUGAGCAACAAACACUAAAGUAUUACCAAAAAGUAAUAUAAUGGCAGUUGUGUGCCAAGAAGCAAGCAGGGACUUUAUAGUCCAACAGACUGUGUUAACAAGGCCUUCCAAGAAACAGGCACCAAAUUAGAAGUUAGAUACACACUGUUUUAUUAGGGGACUAUAAUCUAGGGGACUAGAUAAAUAUAAAUAAAACAUAGGGGACUAUGUCUUAUUAGGGGACUAUAAUUAUAAAUUAUAAUCUCACGCUGUUUUAUUGUGUGAGAUUAUAAAGGGGAGAAAGAUAGGAAAGGCUGGGGUCAGAUAUGGAUAGAAGGAAGGAAGGUUGGAGAAUCGUCCUAGCCCACCACACACUCUAGGAAAGGUCUGGCAUGGCUGUCAAGGAGUCCUGCAGCCAAGGUUUGCCACCAGGGUAGUUUUGUGUCAAUCAGAAAUGGAUCUGCCUUAGUGUCCCUGCUACGCUUUGUCAUCGGAUGGGAGACGCCAACAGGAAGAGUGUCCUCCAUGCGAAUGUGACAGUGACUUUCAGAGUGUAGCUGAAACCCCUGGUUAUGGCCCCUAUAAGUGGAUGUCUGCAAGGCUCAGUCUCAUGACCACUACACACACUCAGAUUCAAAUCCCAGUUCAACAACUUACUAGCCAUGUGACCUUCCUUGCACAAGAUACCCUCUGGGAGCCAGUUGUCUCCCAGUCUGUAAAAUGGGGAUAAUAGUAGUGGCUACCGCAC
ensembl:lncRNA